UUGCUCCAGCAGUACAUGUAUUAAAAUUGGGACAGUAUGGAGAUUAGCAUGGCCGCUGCACAAGGAUGACAUGCAAAUUCAGGAAGCAUUCCAUUUUUUU
rnacentral:snRNA from 1 species